rnacentral:lncRNA from 1 species
GAUGUUGGGCCCGCCCUCUUGGGUAGAUGGUGUUGCGGUCGUAGACUGUGCCCAGAGUUAUUCUAGCGGCAGCAUCUCCUUUGCCUCCGACUCUUUCUAAGGCUGCAGGCCUGAAAAACCCUGUCGCUCCUUCCGGAGGACACCGAGCGAGCGCCCUAAGGAGAGACUAAAGCCCUCUCUUCAAUCCCGUGCUGUCUUCUGCAGAGCGGGAAGCCGUGGCUCCUCCAUUCCUUUCUGGCUUCAGGCGUCGGUUUCCCCAAAUUGGUGGUAUUCCCAGGAAAUAAAGAGAAACUGCCAACGCUAGGCGCGGGAUGCUGCGCGAGAAACGAAAAAAUGAGUCGGUCUCUCAGGAGCUUCGGCCCAGGCAGUACUGGAAAACAGUGUAAGGAGACAACAGAAGAAAGUCUGCUGAACACUUAAAAAUGCCAAUGGUUUGUCUUAAACAUGUCAAAUGUUCUAGACAUGAAAAGGCAGGCAGAUACGGUAGCGAGUCUGCACUCACUCAGGAGGAGGAUCACCGAGUUUGAGGCCAGUCUGGGAUUCCUGGUGAGUUCAAGGCAGCAAGCAAGGGCUACCACAGCAAGAACCUGUAGACAAACCAAUGCAAGCCGAAGCACCUGGGCUCCAGGAGCUCAGAACGUGGAAGUACAAGUUGAGUCCAAGAGUUCAAGUAAAGAAAGAGGUGUAGAGGAGGAAGAGGAGUGGGAGACAACAAAGAAACGGUUCAAAGUCAUCUACACCAGGAAGAGGCAGCUCUUGAAACUAGAGCAGUGCCUGGCACGAUUCUGCUGCUCUGAGACAGAUGAUUGGUGAUAACGACAAAAUCCAUGGCCAGUUUUGGAAAAGGGUCUCGAAGAGAUUGAUAAAAUUAAGUUACAGGAUCUUUACUGUCAUUAAAUUAAGCUUUGAAACCAGAA